CCUAAGAGCUAGUCUAGCAGCAAUCCUCCUGCCUCGCGCAAUAAAAGUCAGGAUCGGUUCCCACAGUGCUGCAGUAGCUACCCUGAUAUACAAUGGAGUAGCCCUUUCCACACUCAGGAACCCAAGGGAGCUGGAAGUAACACCUUGUGGAGCUACAGUCAUGUCCUCCAAAGGGAAAGGAAUUCUGCAAGAAGGUGGUAGAGUCAGAGUCCGGUACAAAGACAAAGGUGUGAGAAUAAGAACAAGGGUGGAUCAUCUCUCUCUCUGAGCUCUAAUGCACCGCCAGAGAAAAUCAGCCUUCUGUCCCUGCCUCUUUGGGAACAACUGGUCUAGAAGUGUUAAUCCACCAGAGGGAAUGAGACAGAACUCCAGUGAACUGCGAGUAGGUGAGGAGACCUAGCUUUUCCUGACAGUUAGGUCAGUCAGUAGAUCUAGGAGGCGAUAACAACUUGGUGCGGGAUGCGCCAAGAGGCAGGCGGUCAGUGCAGGCAGCAGCUGGCACACAUGGCUUCCAGUUUGCCCGCAUAGGCUCUGCUGUCCUUACCUCCCGGGCGUCGUACACAUUUUCUCAGUGCUGAAGCCUGUAUGCUGACUUUAGGCUGCAGCAUAAGGUAGAGAAGCAAUAAAUUUCUUCAAGCCCACUAACCAAUGCUCAUGAGUGCUUAGCUCCACAACGCCACUGGUCCAGCUGGAAGUUCUGCUUGGAAUCAAACCUGCAUGCAUCAGCAAGUUGUAUCUGAAACAAUGUGGUCCACGCUAUAUUCAUGCAAGCACUUGCCUGCAAAUGUUACUUCCCUUGGUUACGAUCUUUAGGUAUACCCAAGCAUAUUUCAGUAAGAACUAAUUGAAUUUUGUGCCAUGUCCUUUGCUUAGCAAAUAAUGAGGAUUGCUUAUCAGCCAAGAUAGUCAAAACUCCAUCCAGCCAUGAAACGAUACAAACAAAAAACAAAAGAGCCCACAGUUCAAAGUCACAAAGUGAGGAAUAGUUGUCACACCUUUAAAUAGAAUUAUGGUGACCUACAGGUGAAGAUUCGUGACGAAUGUGUCAUGUGUGUGACAUGAAGCAGAAGGCAGGCUACUUGAGGGAAGGAAGUAGACGAGUGAGGGAACAAUGUGAGAUCACAGUGAAGGCAGAUGUAAGCAAGGAAGGAAAGACUCAUGUACGGAAACACCAUAAUGAAACCAAGGAAAAGUUAGAACUGAAGAUUUUACUGUUGUUAAGUUUGUGGCCUAAGUGAAUAGACUCACUGUUCUUGAGUUUGUUUCCAUUUUUAAAUGGAAGAAGGACAUGGAGCCCAGAGAGUCUCUAGGGAGUGAUGUCAUGUGUCCAUUAAGGACCUGGACGACAAAUGGAGGCCUGAGCAACCUUGAAAGCCUCAUCCAUCAUGCCUACACAGUCACCAGCGGCACUUGGCUUGGAGGAAAAAUAACCUUUAUUAUGUUCAGCUAGUGAAAUGAUCUAGUUUAAUAGAAGAUGACAUCAACCAUUGACUUCAGACACCGGGAUGUGAGGAAGAGAUCCUAGGCAGGCACAAAAAAGCUAUGGAUGCUGUCCAAGUUCUCCACCCUUCCGUAAGAAUUUUCCUUUCCUUAAGGCCUUACCAAUGCCUUGGUCCAAAAACACGCUAAGAUCCAGCAGCUUCAACUCUUCCCUCUACAUGUCAGCCAUGUUGGUGCUACUAGGAUGUUCCAGCAAAGAUGCAAUGAACCAGGCUCUUAAAACUUGAACCCACUGUAAUGUGCUCAGGAGAAAUAACUAGAUCGUGAAGACUCUGACCCAGUGAAUAGUUCAAUCCACUGAUGAAUUAUAGCUUUGAAAGAACUGUUUGGAGGGGAACUGCAAAAGAAGCAAAUGUAGAUUUGGUGGCAUGUCUGAAUCCCCCCAUGUGGAAAGAUGGUGAAGCCAACAUGACUCGGACCCAUCUCUUGCUGUCCUUUGAUAAGAGGUCUGGGUAGUUCCUUGAAGAGCGGUGUGUGCUACCCAGAGUCAGGUCAAGCAAGCUAAAUUGCCAACAUGCCACAAACUCAUGGCCCCGAGGAUCCUGAAUUCCCCAGCACCCCACAAAACUGAAGCACAUUCCUUCACACCUGUCUUCGCAGAUGUGCCAGUUUGUUAGAAAGAGAAUAAUCUGAAGCAUUGCAGCAUGGUAUGGAUCAUGGCAGUACGGCUUCUGUAGGGGCGGUGCCAAGCCCAAAGGAAACUCUCCCUUUAAACCACAGAACUAAAAGGAAGUACCAAUAGUCUACUUGGCCGUCAUGCACUUUACCAGAAUAGGAGAGUAUGUGAAAAUCCUCAUUUCUUGUCUAAAACAAAACAGAACAAAACAAACAAACAAACAAACAAAAUGGCGUGGUUGUGCCUGGAUGAAGUUUUGAUGCCUUGGGCACAUUUGGAGAAAAACUACUAAGUUGUUCUGGUGUGGAAGUGCUUUUUGACCAGAGGGCAUCAUCCGAUGGAUCUAUCACUACAAUGGAAGAAGCCCAGUGCCAAAAUAAACAGCCUGGGAUCAGCAAAACAUGUCACUCUGGGUACAAAGGCAGGCCCGGUACAGAACUCAGCCCAUACAGUCGAGAUGCUGGGACUGACGGGACUGACGUCUAACUCCAGCUGUGCCCAUGGGCCCAAAGUCUUCUGGGAAUCCCAGCCACAUCACACCAUAUUUUUCAUCCACAAAGUCCCAGAUGGGACCACAGCACCAGAUACAAGCCAAUCUCUUAAGUUCUCGCUGAUAAUUUGAACAUGAACUCUAAAAUGGAUCAGUUGGGAGAGGGCAUCUGAAACAGAAAUGUUUGGCAGAACUGAAACCCACACAGACAGACAGACAGACACCAGGCUUAUACAGAGAUGGCUAGUGGGGAAGGAGGGCAGAGAAUGCCCGUGAUCCUUCCCAGGUCUCUUCCACCCGAUCCCACCCAGCUAGGACCAGAAAACACCAUUGGAGCAACUCAAGGGAACGUGCCGAGUGGGCGAUCGUGGGAGUAGAUGACAGGGAGUUGGGUCAAUCACAACUCACGCUGUUAUUGAUCGAGUGAUUUUAGUGAAGUGAAUACAUUGGCAGGGAAAAGCAUGAAAAACAAAACACAUCUGGGAAUUACUAUUAACAUACGUGAUAACAUCAAAACAUCUGGUCAAACGUAGUUAAGAAACAACACGAAGGAAAUGGAAUGUAAAACAUCUUCACAGUAUUCAAAGCUUUUUAUAAAAGGCUUGGGCUAUAAAGCGGAGUCCGCACGGGUGAACUAGGGCCAACAGGAAUUCCGGAUGUGCUUAGGGCCGGCAGUGCCAGGUCAGAGUGGCCAACAUGCCAUCGUGGAGAUGUGGCCUCGGGUCUGCUUCUGAAGCCCAUCUUGAACCAUUUCCAGCUAUAAAGGUACAAUAGAGCAUCCGCUUACAUGGAGGCUAACAAGAAGAACGGGUUCUAGCUUUGGGAAGCGAGAUUUCUGUAAUUUACACAUUCAUAGGAAGCCUGGAGCUGGGCUUAGACUUUGCCCCAGGGAGGACCUAGUACGAACCCACCAACCAUGAGCUUUGAGGAUUGCUACAGGUUUGAAAAAGUAAAAUAUUCUUACAA